rnacentral:rRNA from 1 species
UACGGGGGGGGCAAGCGUUGUUCGGAAUUACUGGGCGUAAAGGGCUCGUAGGCGGCCAACUAAGUCAGACGUGAAAUCCCUCGGCUUAACCGGGGAACUGCGUCUGAUACUGGAUGGCUUGAAUCCGGGAGAGGGAUGCGGAAUUCCAGGUGUAGCGGUGAAAUGCGUAGAUAUCUGGAGGAACACCGGUGGCGAAGGCGGCAUCCUGGACCGGUAUUGACGCUGAGGCGCGAAAGCCAGGGGAGCAAACAGG